UACGUAGGGGGCGAGCGUUGUCCGGAGUUACUGGGCGUAAAGCGCACGCAGGCGGUCUGUUAAGUUUGGAGUGACAGUUGGUGGCUUAACUGCCAAAGUGCUUCGAAAACUGACAGACUUGAGGGCUUCAGAGGGACACGGAAUUCCGGGUGGAGUGGUGAAAUGCGUAGAGAUCUGGAGGAAUACCGAUGGCGAAGGCAGCCAUCUGGCCUAAUACUGACGCUGAGGUACGAAAGCAUGGGGAGCAAACAGG
rnacentral:rRNA from 1 species